rnacentral:rRNA from 1 species
UACAGAGGUCUCAAGCGUUGUUCGGAUUCAUUGGGCGUAAAGGGUGCGUAGGCGGCGCGGUAAGUCGGGUGUGAAAUUUCGGAGCUUAACUCCGAAACUGCAUUCGAUACUGCGGUGCUUGAGGACUGGAGAGGAGACUGGAAUUCAUGGUGUAGCAGUGAAAUGCGUAGAUAUCGUAAGGAAGACCAGUGGCGAAGGCGGGUCUCUGGACAGUUCCUGACGCUGAGGCACGAAGGCCAGGGGAGCAAACGGG